GACGGAGGAUGCAAGUGUUAUCCGGAAUCACUGGGCGUAAAGCGUCUGUAGGUGGUUUAAUAAGUCUACUGUUAAAUCUUGAGGCUCAACCUCAAAAUCGCAGUCGAAACUAUUAGGCUAGAGUAUAGUAGGGGUAAAGGGAAUUUCCAGUGGAGCGGUGAAAUGCGUAGAGAUUGGAAAGAACACCGAUGGCGAAGGCACUUUACUGGGCUAUUACUAACACUCAGAGACGAAAGCUAGGGUAGCAAAUGGG
rnacentral:rRNA from 1 species